UUGGCUAUCUUGCAUUUCAAAGUUCUCACCUUUCCUCUCUCUCCUCUCUCUCUCUCUCUCUCGCUUUCGACUUUCGAGAUAAUCGAAGCGAUCAGAACGGUGAGAAAAUCGAGGAUCGUCUGGGAGAGAAUAGGCAAGGAACUCAUGGGUUGGAUCCCGUGUUCUGGAAAAUCGAGCGGGAAAUCGAAGACAAGGAAGAACAGCGACUUGAAGCUGAAUAGGAAGGCUUCCGAUCGUGGUGUUUCUGCUUCAGAGAAAUCUAAGACAAAAUCCCUGUCAGGUGACAAGAACGCAUCCAAAAGCAGAGGGUCUGAUCGCAUAACAGCACAGACAUUUACAUUCUCCGAGUUGGCUGCAGCUACUAGAAACUUUAGAAAAGAAUGCCUUUUGGGGGAAGGAGGGUUUGGUAGAGUUUACAAAGGACACCUGCAGAGUAGUAGCCAGGUAGUGGCUAUCAAGCAACUUGAUCAUAACGGAUUACAAGGAAACAGGGAGUUUCUCGUUGAGGUUCUGAUGCUGAGUCUUCUUCACCACCCAAAUCUUGUUAAUCUAAUUGGGUACUGUGCUGAUGGAGAUCAAAGGCUUCUGGUGUACGAGUACAUGCCCCUUGGAUCGUUGGAAGAUCUUUUACAUGAUAUUUCACCUGGCAAGCAGCCGCUUGAUUGGAAUACAAGAAUGAAAAUAGCAGCAGGGGCAGCAAAGGGCUUGGAGCACUUGCAUGACAAGACAGUCCCUCCGGUGAUAUAUCGGGAUUUGAAAUGCUCCAACAUUUUACUUGGGGAUGGGUUCCACCCGAAGCUAUCCGACUUUGGAUUGGCCAAACUCGGCCCUGUGGGUGACAAGUCCCAUGUCUCAACCAGAGUGAUGGGUACCUAUGGGUACUGUGCUCCAGAGUAUGCCAUGACUGGUCAACUAACUCUCAAGUCGGAUGUUUAUAGCUUUGGAGUCGUCCUUUUGGAGAUCAUAACAGGCAGGAAAGCCAUCGACAAUUCACGGGCUGCCGGAGAACAAAAUCUGGUUGCAUGGGCGAGGCCUCUGUUCAAAGACCGGAGAAAAUUCUCGCAGAUGGCUGAUCCAAUGCUCCAAGGUCAGUACCCUCCAAGAGGAUUGUACCAAGCGCUUGCAGUUGCAGCCAUGUGCGUGCAAGAGCAGCCGAAUCUCAGACCGCUCAUUGCUGAUGUCGUCACUGCCCUCUCAUACCUCGCGUCACAAAAGUACGAUCCCGGGUCUCAGCAAGUCCAGAAUUCCCUUUUCGCCCCCGGGACUCCACCUCGGACAAAGCGGGACAAAGACAGGAGGAUCUAGAAACAGAAGACGCCUUCCUUGCAAGGGUUUGGAACCACAACUCUUGCGAGUGACUCAGAUUCGACCGAGAAAACUGAUGAAGAGAAACCCAGGUUACCCCAAUUUGGGAAAGAUGCCAAAAUUGGUUCUGAUGAAGAAGAGAAACGUAAAGCCAUGGGCAUUGAUGUUCUUCUCAAUGAGGCAGCUAAUUCUACAUUGUUAACGUUGAUGAUCAUUCAAGGAACUAGUUGUUGCAGGUAUAAUCCUUCCACGAGGUGGAUUGCACCGGGAUGCCGCCUUUCAUUGACAGCUGGUGAGAAGAACAAGGAGUA